UACGUAGGGUGCAAGCGUUGUCCGGAAUUAUUGGGCGUAAAGAGCUCGUAGGCGGUUUGUCGCGUCGGCCGUGAAAACUUGGGGCUUAACCCCAAGCCUGCGGUCGAUACGGGCAGACUUGAGUUCGGCAGGGGAGAGCUGGAAGUUCCUGUGUAGCGGUGGAAAUGACGCAGAUAUCAGGAGGAACACCGGUGGCGAAGGCGGGUCUCUGGGCCGAUACUGACGCUGAGGAGCGAAAGCGUGGGGGAGCGAACAGG
rnacentral:rRNA from 1 species